rnacentral:rRNA from 1 species
AGUGGCGAACGGGUGAGGAAUACAUGGACAACGUGCCCCGGACUCAGGGAUAGCGGCGGAACUUCGGUUCCUUUGCGAAAGUGCCGGUAAUACCUGAUGACCCCGCGGAAUCACAUGAUUCAGCGGGCAAAGCUCCGACGGUCCGGGAUCGGUUCAUGUCCUAUCAGCUUGUUGGUGGGGUAACGGCCUACCAAGGCAAUGACGGGUAUCGGGCGUGAGAGCGUGACCCGACACAUCGGAACUGAGAUACGGUCCGGACACCUACGGGUGGCUGCAGCAACGAAUAUUCCGCAAUGGACGAAAGUCUGACGGAGCGACGCCGCGUGCAGGAGGAAGUCCCUCGGGAUGUAAACUGCUGUCAGGGGUUAGGAAACAAAUGACCAGCCCCAGAGGAAGCACCGGCUAACUCCGUGCCAGCAGCCGCGGUAAUACGGAGGGUGCAAGCGUUGUUCGGAAUUAUUGGGCUUAAAGCGCGUGUAGGCGG